rnacentral:rRNA from 1 species
AGAAUCAACGCUGGCGGCGUGCCUAACACAUGCAAGUCGAACGAGAAAGUGGAGCAAUCCAUGAGUAAAGUGGCGACCGGGUGAGUAACACGUGACUAACCUACCUUCGAGUGGGGGAUAACAUCGGGAAACCGAUGCUAAUACCGCAUAACAUCGCAAGAUCAAAGCAGCAAUGCGCUUGAAGAGGGGGUCGCGGCUGAUUAGCUAGUUGGCGGGGUAAUGGCCCACCAAGGCGAAGAUCGGUA